rnacentral:lncRNA from 1 species
CACCCCACCCCUGCUCAGCAGCCCAGGGCCUGGCUCCUGUCCUCCCUCUGGCCAGGAGCUCCCACCCUGGGUACGUUCUCCCUGCUCAGUGAGACGCCUCCUCACCCGCCAGACAUCCCACAUCAGCAGAAGCAAAGCCUGUGCGGGACAAGAACACAGGGACCUCCCAGAGGCACACGCACCUCCCGUCUGCAGCCCAGCAUCAGGAGAGGCACAAAUUCUGCCCCAAAUUCCCAAGGAUGAUGAUGGGACUCUGAUCAGAGGCCAAGGCCGUGAAGUCCGGUCUGCCUCUUCCGGGGCCCGAGAGCGGCCUGUACAGCCAGUACGAGCAGGCUUUCGGAAGGUGAAUGUCUAUGCUACGUUUGUGUUUGAUGGCCACACUAGUGGCCUCAGAGACCACGCCCCAGGCUUCUGUGAAGUGUUUUCUAAGCACCAGAGACAUUUGGAGCCUCCUAGCACUGCUUUUCCUCGGAUGGGUCAUUAAUCUGAAGGCUGGCUUUCCCGUCUCUGGGCCUCCACAGCCCAGAACACCAUAGCUGGCCUUGGAGUUAGCAUCAGCCAUGAGCUCAUCAGGCUGGAGAUCACCUCCCUGAGGUUCUGGAUCUGACCCUCAUUGAUCUUCCAAGCAUCACCAGCGUGGCCGUGGGAAACCAGCCCCAGGACAUCAGACUGCAGGCAAGUCUUUCUAGAACUUGAGAAUGGGUCAAGCUGAAGUUCGGGAGACUUCUAGGUCUCUGCGGGCAGCAGCAGGGCUUCUGGUGUGCCUCCCCUGCCCUUGCACUGAGUGGUUGGGGAGGAGACUGGGGUAGCAGUGCCCAGGGCACGGGGCAGAGCUAUUAGGGCACACUAAUAGCUAUCACUCCCCAACACUCUCCAGUGUGGUUCCAUGUCCAUCAUCAUUAAAGCUUCCAAUGGCCAGGACACCUGGGUGUCUCAGUCAGUUAAGCGUUUGACUCUUGAUUUUGGCUCAGGUCAUGAUCUUGCAGUUGGUGAGUUCAAGCCCUGUGUCGGGCUCUGCGCUGACAGCAAGAGCCUGCUUGAGAUUCUCUCUCUCCCUCUUUCUCUCUGCCCAUCCCCCACUUGUGCUCAUCCCCUCAAAAUAAAGAAAUUAACUUACAAAUAAAAGCA